rnacentral:lncRNA from 13 species
AUGGCUGGACACCAGUGGGGUUUGUCCUGCGAUGAUCCCAGUAUGACUGGGCAGUAUCUCUUCCUAAAAUCCUACCAGGACUUGCAGAAAAGCUGUCACCAAACAGUCCUGCUCCUGGGGUCUGGGACAGCUGAAACCACAGCGGGCAGGCAGAAGGGAGUAAAUGCCAUCAAAAACCAGAAACGUGACGAGCUGUGUAUAUUACUGCAAGAUGGAGGUGUUUUGUGCAGCUGUGUCUCCCUGAGCCCCACGUGUGUCCUGUUUUGCACAGGUAAAGGUGUGUUCUGCGAGGGGCUGCCCAGCCUGGACAGGCAGACAGCAGAAGCCUGUUUCGAUGAGGCCGACAGGUGUGCAAGGCCACUCGUGUGCGGGUUCUACAAGCGCUUUGACCCAGCCCUGCAGUUCUUGUACAAGAAGGUGCGGGACAGCCAGGUGCUGGGCAGGAUCCACCGGAUAUCCACCAUCAGCAGCCUCUAUCCAGCAGCCUCUCUGAGCCUCCUGAAAGCUUCAGGUGGAAUUUUUUACAAUGCUGCCGUGCAUGACAUAGAUAUUAUCAGUUUGUUGUUGGGAGAGAGUGUGCCAGAUACAAUAUUUUCCCUGGGCCAUGCCUUCUGUGCAGACAUGGGCUGCCUGAGGGACGUGGACACGGUCGCCAUCAGCAUGAAGUUCCCCAGCGGAGCCAUUGUCACUCUGGAUGUCAGCCAGCACUGCACCAGGAGCUGUGACCAGCGGCUGGAGGUUCACGGGUCUCAAGGGACGUUAAGGGUGGACAACCAGAACCCCCUGGGCAUCACAGAGCACGGGACUUCUGUGUCCAUCUGUCCCCAAACCCAAGCUGAGCGCUACAGAGAUGCACACAGGGAGCUCUUACGGCACUUCCUGAGAACCUUGAAAGGCCAGGAGCCCCCCGUGGUCACCAAGGAGCAGCUCCUCUGGACAAUCCGGGUCGCUGCAGCGGCCGAGCAGUCCUGGAGGAAGGGAUCUGCCGUGGACUUGCGCAGCGGUGCCAUGGAUCCGGCCAGAGUCAAGGCCGAGGUCGUGUGA